CUGAUGCUGAGGAGUCCCAUACUAGGACGAAACGGCCGUCCAG
rfam:Schistosoma margrebowiei strain Zambia genome assembly, scaffold: SMRZ_contig0000911